rnacentral:tRNA from 1 species
AAUAACGAUAAAAAAUGCGGAUAUAGUCGAAUGGUAAAAUUUCUCUUUGCCAAGGAGAAGACGCGGGUUCA